rnacentral:tRNA from 1 species
UGCCCUGUCGUCCAAUGGUAGGACACCAGACUCUGGAUCUGGGUAUUGUGGUUCGAAUCCACACGGGGCAGCCA